UCCCUGGCAGUCCACUGGGAGGACUCCACACUUCCACUGUUGAGGCCCUAGGUUCAAUCCCUGGUUGGGGAA
rnacentral:tRNA from 1 species